GGGGAAUAUUGCACAAUGGGCGAAAGCCUGAUGCAGCCAUGCCGCGUGUAUGAAGAAGGCCUUCGGGUUGUAAAGUACUUUCAGUUGUGAGGAAGGGGGUGUCGUUAAUAGCGGCAUCUCUUGACGUUAGCAACAGAAGAAGCACCGGCUAACUCCGUGCCAGCAGCCGCGGUAAUACGGAGGGUGCGAGCGUUAAUCGGAAUUACUGGGCGUAAAGCGCAUGCAGGUGGUUCAUUAAGUCAGAUGUGAAAGCCCGGGGCUCAACCUCGGAACUGCAUUUGAAACUGGUGAACUAGAGUACUGUAGAGGGGGGUAGAAUUUCAGGUGUAGCGGUGAAAUGCGUAGAGAUCUGAAGGAAUACCAGUGGCGAAGGCGGCCCCCUGGACAGAUACUGACACUCAGAUGCGAAAGCGUGGGGAGCAAACAGG
rnacentral:rRNA from 1 species